rnacentral:rRNA from 1 species
GAUGAACGCUGGCGGCGUGCCUAAUACAUGCAAGUCGAGCGAACAGACGAGGAGCUUGCUCCUCUGACGUUAGCGGCGGACGGGAGAGUAACACGUGGAUAACCUCCCUAUCAGUCGGGGAUAUCUUCGGAACACCGGAGCUAAUACCGGAUAAUAUAUUGAAGCACAUGGUGCAAUAGAGAGAGACGGUUUUGCUGUCACUAAUAGAGGGAUCUGCGCCGCAUGAGCUAGUUGGUAAGGUCACGGCUUAUCACGGCAACGAUGCGUAGCCGACCUGAGGGGGGGAUAGGCCACACGGGAACGGGGACGCGGUCCAGACGCCUAAGGGAGGCAGCAGUAGGGAAUGUGACGCAAUGGGCGAGAGCCUGACGGAGCGAGGGCGCGUGAGUGAUGGAGGUCUUGGGAUCGUAAAACUCUGUUAUGAGUGAAGAACAGAUGUGUAAGUAACUGUGCACGGCUUGACGGUACCUAAUCAGAAAGCCACGGCUAACUACGUG